rnacentral:rRNA from 1 species
ACACAUGCAGUCGAGCGGAUGAGGGUAGCUUGCUACCUGAUUCAGCGGCGGACGGGUGAGUAAUGCCUAGGAAUCUGCCCGAUAGUGGGGGACAACGUUUCGAAAGGAACGCUAAUACCGCAUACGUCCUACGGGAGAAAGUGGGGGAUCUUCGGACCUCACGCUAUCGGAUGAGCCUAGGUCGGAUUAGCUAGUUGGUGGGGUAAAGGCCCACCAAGGCAACGAUCCGUAGCUGGUCUGAGAGGAUGAUCAGCCACACUGUGACUGAGACACGGCCCAGACUCCUACGGCAGGCAGCAGUGGGGAAUAUUGGACAAUGGGCGAAAGCCUGAUCCAGCCAUGCCGCGUGUGUGAAGAAGGUCUUCGGAUUGUAAAGCACUUUAAGUUGGGAGGAAGGGUUGUAGGUUAAUACCCUGCAAUUUUGACGUUACCAACAGAAUAAGCACCGGCUAACUCCGUGCCAGCAGCCGCGGUAAUACGGAGGGUGCAAGCGUUAAUCGGAAUUACUGGGCGUAAAGCGCGCGUAGGUGGCAAAGUAAGUUGGGUGUGAAAUCCCCGGGCUCAACCUGGGAACUGCAUUCAAAACUGCUUCGCUAGAGUACGGUAGAGGGAGGUAGAAUUUCAGGUGUAGCGGUGAAAUGCGUAGAGAUCUGAAGGAAUACCAGUGGCGAAGGCGGCCUCCUGGACUGAUACUGACACUGAGGUGCGAAAGCGUGGGGAGCAAACAGGAUUAGAUACCCUAGUUCCACGCCGUAAACGAUGUCUCCUAGCCGUAGGGCCCCUUAGAGGGUUUUGUGGCGCAGCUAACGCACUAAGUAGACCGCCUGGGGAGUACGGCCGCAAGGUUAGAACUCAAAUGAAUUGACGGGGGCCCGCACAAGCGGUGGAGCAUGUGGUUUAAUUCGACGCAACGCGAAGAACACCUGGCCCUGACCUGCUGAGAACUUUCCAGAGAAGGAUUGGUGCCUUUGGGAAAUUCGACCCCGGUGCCGCCAGGCCGUUCUCAACUUCUGUUGUGAGAAGUUGGGUUAAGUUCCGUAACGAGCGCCACCCUUGUCCUUAGUUUCCCGCCCCUUGGGUGGGCCCUUUAAGGAGGCUUCCGGUGGCCAACCGGAGGAAGGUGGGGAAGACGUCAAGUCCUCCUGGCCCUUUCGGCCCGGGCUACCCCCGUGGUUCCAUGGUUGGUACCGAGGGUUGCCCAACCCCGAGGUGGAGGUAAUUUCCCAAAACCGAUUGUAGUUCGGAUUGCCGUUUGCAACUUGGCUGCGGAAGUUGGAAUCGGUAGUAAUUGGAAUCAGAA